rnacentral:rRNA from 1 species
AAGAGGGAAACAACCCAGACCGCCAGCUAAGGUCCCUAAAAUUUGGGCUAAGUGGGAAACGAAGUGGGAAGGCUAAAACAGUCAGGAUGUUGGCUUAGAAGCAGCCAUCAUUUAAAGAAAGCGUAAUAGCUCACUGAUCGAGUCGUCCUGCGCGGAAGAUGUAACGGGGCUAAGCCAGUUACCGAAGCUGCGGAUGCACAGUUUUACUGUGCGUGGUAGGAGAGCGUUCUGUAGGCCUGUGAAGGUGUGUUGUAAAGCAUGCUGGAGGUAUCAGAAGUGCGAAUGCUGACAUGAGUAGCGUUAAAGGGGGUGAAAAGCCCCCUCGCCGUAAGCGCAAGGUUUCCUACGCAACGUUCAUCGGCGUAGGGUGAGUCGGCCCCUAAGGUGAGGCAGAGAUGCGUAGCUGAUGGGAAACAGGUCAAUAUUCCUGUACCGAUGUGUAGUGCGAUGUGGGGACGGAGAAGGUUAGCUCAGCCAACUGUUGGACAUGUUGGUUCAAGCCUGUAGUCGUGC